rnacentral:rRNA from 1 species
UAGGGAAUUUUGCGCAAUGGACGAAAGUCUGACGCAGCAACGCCGUGUGAGGGAUGAAGCAUUUCGGUGUGUAAACCUCUGUCGUUGGUGACUAAAGUUUUCAGGAGUGGAAAGCCUGGAGAUUGAAUGUAGCCAAGAAGGAAGCACUGGCUAACUCUGUG